UCAAAAAAUAAAAUUUUAAUAUAUUUAUUGGCCGAAAAUGUAAAUGUGCAAGAAAAUGUUUUUAGAUUGUUUUUUGCCCCAUAUAUACUUUAUAAAUUGCCAAAAGUAAAAUAACUUGAGUAUUUAAAAGGAAUGGUACUUUGUCUGGUGAUUUGUAAUUAUAUUUA